rnacentral:rRNA from 1 species
UACGGGGGGGGCAAGCGUUGUUCGGAUUUACUGGGCGUACAGGGAGCGUAGGCGGUUGGAUAAGCCCUCCGUGAAAUCUCCAGGCUUAACCUGGAGAGUGCAGAGGGGACUGUUCAGCUAGAGGAUGGGAGAGGAGCGCGGAAUUCCCGGUGUAGCGGUGAAAUGCGUAGAGAUCGGGAGGAAGGCCGGUGGCGAAGGCGGCGCUCUGGAACAUUUCUGACGCUGAGGCUCGAAAGCGUGGGGAGCAAACAGG